rnacentral:lncRNA from 1 species
CCGCCCGGCGCGGUCUCCCUCUGACGCCCAUUGUAUUUUAUUUGACAGGUAACGGGAACCACUCACAACAAAGGUAUCGAUCCGCCUGCCGGAUCAGCGUUAACUAAGGUCCAGCUACCGCUAGACUUUUAGACAUUAACAUUGGCGCCGUCUGUGGGAAUCCUUGAACAGAAGGUCAUCCCAUCACAGUUACCAUGACUAACGGUAGCGGGGGAAAUAGCGGGGAGCAGGCAGACCAGUCCGCCGUUCCCCAACCCGCCCGCCCAGCGGUAAGCAUCAACCGCGCACUAUUCAACACCCCGGUCAACCCAGGCGGUGAAACAAAUCCAGGCAGCAGCCGUCCCCCAGGUCAGGACCUCACCGCCUUGUAUGAACUGGCGCUGGCAGACCUCCACAAAGCAAACAGAGAGCGCGAGCAGGAACGCAAGGAGAAGGCGGAGGCCCAAAACCAAGUGGCCACGCUGAUGACACGUUUCGACGAGCUAAGGCGAACGCUGGACGCAAACGCCAACCCUGCACGAAGUGAGCAGUCACACAGCACCAGACACAGCCGGCCUACCGCUGGUAUAGGACCCAUCGUGCAAAUGCAGGUACCGCUAAGCCCACCUGAGCUGGCAGGAAUGGGACCACCCCCUAUCCCACAACUGCCGGAGCAGGAGGCGGAGUCAUCGCUGCGCACCCACCACUCGAGGACUAGAACAAGGACUGAGGGUAAUCUACCCAUUCCCGGGCGGGGGUUCGCUCCGCGGAACGCCCGAGCGGGCCCCGCUGGCGACGCAACCACCCAAAUUUUGGAGAGGAUGCAGCAGUUAGAACGGAGAUUAAUCCUGGCGGAGGCAGGCACCCCGGCGCCAGCCCCAAACCCACUCUUCGCGUCCAGGCCAGGCCCAUUCACCGC